UACACACCGCCCGUCACACCAUGGGAGUGGGUUCUACCAGAAGUGGCUAGUCGUAACCGCAAGGAGGACGGUCACCACGGUAGGAUUCAAUGACUGGGGUG
rnacentral:rRNA from 1 species